rnacentral:rRNA from 1 species
GAUGAACGCUGACAGAAUGCUUAACACAUGCAAGUCUUUGGCGAAGCUGUGCUUGCACAGCCUAGCCAAGGCGGACGGGUGAGUAACGCGUCAGGAACUUGCCCUGCAGUCAGGGAUAACAGACGGAAACGACUGAUAAGACCUGGUAAAGUCAGGCGGACUCAUGUCCAGCCUGAUGAAAAGAGAUGCUGCAGGAGAGCCUUGCGUCCUAUUAGCUUGUUGGUGGGGUAACGGCCCACCAAGGCGAUGAUAGGUAGCCGGCCUGAGAGGGUGGACGGCCACAAGGGGUCUGAGAUACGGCCCUUACUCCUACGGGAGGCAGCAGUGGGGAAUAUUGGACAAUGGGGGCAACCCUGAUCCAGCAAUUCGGUGUGCACGAUGAAGGUUUUCGGAUUGUAAAGUGCUUUCAGCAGGGAAGAAAAAAAUGACGGUACCUGCAGAAGAAGCGACGGCUAAAUACGUG